ACUGGACUGAGGGUCAGAAGGC
rnacentral:miRNA from 1 species